AUUGAACGCUGGCGGCAGGCUUAACACAUGCAAGUCGAGCGGAGAUGAGGUGCUUGCACCUUAUCUUAGCGGCGGACGGGCGAGUAAUGCUUAGGAAUCUGCCUAUUAGUGGGGGACAACAUUCCGAAAGGAAUGCUAAUACCGCAUACGUCCUACGGGAGAAAGCAGGGGAUCUUCGGACCUUGCGCUAAUAGAUGAGCCUAAGUCGGAUUAGCUAGUUGGUGGGGUAAGGGCCUACCAAGGCGACGAUCUGUAGCGGGUCUGAGAGGAUGAUCCGCCACACUGGGACUGGAACACGGCCCAGACUCCUACGGGAGGCAGCAGUGGGGAAUAUUGGACAAUGGGGGGAACCCUGAUCCAGCCAUGCCGCGUGUGUGAAGAAGGCCUUAUGGUUGUAAAGCACUUUAAGCGAGGAGGAGGCUACUGAGACUAAUACUCUUGGAUAGUGGACGUUACUCGCAGAAUAAGCACCGGCUAACUCUGUGCCAGCCGCCGCCGUAACAC
rnacentral:rRNA from 1 species